rnacentral:sRNA from 1 species
CAUGAGACCGGACUACUGGAGCAUCACAGGAAAAGGCACGUAAGUACGUGCAGUAGAUGAUUAGCAACCCAAGGGACUAGGUGAACUACGAUACAAAAACGGCAUGCAACUUUCUACAAGUUUUGUGGAAGCUGCAAUGGACCUGGCACGCAUGUUGCAAUGAAU